CAGUCGCCGCGGGAAUACGGAGGGAGCUAGCGUUAUUCGGAAUUACUGGGCGUAAAGCGCACGUAGGCGGCUUUGUAAGUUAGAGGUGAAAGCCUGGUGCUCAACACCAGAACUGCCUUUGAUACUGCAUCGCUUGAAUCCAGGAGAGGUGAGUGGAAUUCCGAGUGUAGAGGUGAAAUUCGUAGAUAUUCGGAAGAACACCAGUGGCGAAGGCGGCUCACUGGACUGGUAUUGACGCUGAGGUGCGAAAGCGUGGGGAGCAAACAGGAUUAGAUACCCGUGUAGUCCCUGUCCUUAUACA
rnacentral:rRNA from 1 species